rnacentral:rRNA from 1 species
AGGUAGUUUUGACUCCUGGUCACGAGAACGACGCCUUGGCGGGCAUGCCUAACACAUGCAAGUCGAACGAACCCUUCGGGGUUAGUGGCGCACGGGUGCGUAACGCGUGGGAAUCUGCCCUUUUGCUUCGGAAUUAACAUUAGAAAUGACUGCUAAUACCGGAUGAUGUCUUCGGACCAAAGAUUUUAUCGGCAAAGGAUGAGCCCGCGUAGGAUUAGGUAGUUGGUGGGGUAAAGGCCUACCAAGCCGACGAUCCUUUAGCUGGUCUGAGAGGAUGAUCAGCCACACUGGGACUGAGACACGGCCCCAGACUCCUACGGGAGGGCAGCAGCGGGGAAUAUUGGACAAUGGACGCAAGUCUGAUCCAGCAAUGCCGCGUGAGUGAUGAAGGCCUUAGGGUUGUAAAGCUCUUUUACCAGGGAUGAUAAUGACAGUACCUGGAGAAUAAGCUCCGGCUAACUCCGUG